AGAGCGGGAGGGGGAGGGGCGAGAACAGAGGGAGGACAUUGCGGAAGGACUCAUAUCUGGUCCUACCAGUUGUGGACAUGCAAAUAGAUCACAGAAAAGUGGCAGAUAUGCUUAUUGCAACAGAUGAGCAGAAUCUGUGACAGUGAAGGUCUGACAAUCAAACCGGGACUGGCACUUUCAGUUUUAGCGCAUGUCAGAGGAGCUGGUGAGCCCAAUGGAUGUUGAAGGAAGGUCAGCGAGCCCCUGGUAGGCAAAUGAAAUGUUGCAAAGAAAGACAUCAAAAUCAGCCUGAAGAAAUUCAACAUCACAUCUAAAAACUGAGAAGACAUUACACUCCAUAGAUACACCUGGAGGAAAUCUGCUCAAGCCCGAGCUUUGCUACUGGAGAUUGACCUCUGCUGUGCUGCAGAGAACAAGUGGCAGCUCCAAAUACAGGGACUGAAUAACUAAAAGACCCAAUCACUAACCACAGCCACACACUGUUGCCCACACUGUACCAGAAUAUAUGGGUCCCUGAUCAGCCUCUGCACCCACCUGAGGACUCACCUAUAGACAACUCCUUAGGAGAACAUCGUACUUGACUUGAGUGAUGGCACUACCUCAAAAGUGGUGGAAGAACUCCUAUACCUCCUCCCUGCGGGCAGCAAUGAGAAGAGGAUAUGUCUUGAGUGAUGGAGGUCAACCUUUUGAGGCAUUGCCUUUUGAAGAUGUCCUGGAUCCUGGGGAGGCUAGUGCCCAUGAUGGAGCUGGCUGAGUUUAUAACUUUCUGCAGCUUUUCCCGAUCUUGUGCAGUGGCCCCUCCCUAUCAGAGGGUGAUGCAACCAGUUAGAGUGCUCUGCACGAUAACCUAGAAAUUUGCAAGUGUCUUUGGUGACAUUGCAAUACUCUUCAAACUCCUAAUGAAAUAUAGCCGCUGUUGUGUCUUCUUUGUAAUUGCAUCAAUAUGUUGGGCCCAGGAUAGAUAUUGACACCCAGGAAUUUGAAACUGCUCACCUUUUCCACUUCUGAUUCAUUGAUGAGAACUGAUGUGCAUUCCUUCGACUACCCCUUCCUGAAGUCUACAAUAAAUUCCUUAGUCUUAAUGAUGUUGAAUACAAGGUUGUUGCUGCAAUUACACUCAUCCAGCUGAUCUGUCUUGCUCCUGUAUGUCUUCUUGUCACCAUCUGAAAUUCUGCCAACAAUAGUUGUGUUGUUGGCAUAUUUAUAGAUGGCAUUUGAGGUGUGCUGACCCACACAAUCACACAAUUUUGGGUGUUGAGUGAGUAGAGCAGUGAGAUAAGCAUGCAUCCUUGAGAUGCACUAGUACUGAUUUUCAGCGAGGAGGAGAUGUUAUUUCCAAUCCACACAGACUGACAAGGAUCUAGUUGCAGAAAGAGGUCCAGAGGCCCAUGUUUUGGAGCUUGCGGAUGAGAACUGAGGAUAUGAUUGUCGCUCUUUUAAAGCAUGUGGGAGCCUGCGACUGCAGCAAUGAGAGAUUGAACAUGUCCUUGAACAGUCCUGACAGUUGGUUGGCAGAGUUUUCAAAGCCCUAACAGGUAGACCAUCAGGUCCUGACACCUUGCGAAGGUUGACCCUCUUGGAAGGCAUUCUGAUGUCGGCCUCUGGGACAGAGAUCACAGGGUCACCAGUGCUGCAGGGAUCCUUGAAGCUGUAGUUUAAUUCUCCCAUUGAAAAUUAGCAUAAAAAGCAUUGAGUUCAUCUGGGAGUGAAGCGUCACAGCCAUUCAUGAUGGUAUAUUUCACUUGUAGGAAGUAAUGGCCUGCAAACCCUGCCAAAGCUGACAUACAUCCAUGAUGCACCAUCAAUAACUCACUCUGAGACGUAAAGGCGAGAUAUCGGCUUUUAUUGACUGGAAGAAGGAACCAGCAGUGAGUGACCACCAUACUACAUCCUGGAGACUGAGAGGCCGGGCCCAGGCUCUGAUCGCCUUUAUACAGGGGUCUGUGGGAGGAGCCACAGGAGCAGUCAGCAGGGGGCGUGUCCAGACAGGCACACGUAGUUCACCACAAUCCAAUUCCGUCUCUAACCUCAUAAGAAUUGUUUUUUUUUCCACCCUUAAGCUAGCCUUUUGUAAGUCGUACCCAGAAUUCUUGUUUAGUUCUAGAUCAUCAUCUUGAUUGCCACAGAUCUAGCCCGCAGCAGACAACAGAUCUCCUGGUUUGUCCAUGGCUUUUUGUUUUGUGUAUGUCUGGUAUGUUCUCAAAAGCACGCACUCAUCUAUACAGGUCUUGGUGAAAUCAAUGACAACUGUAGCAUAUUCAUUCAGAUUUGAAGACAAAUCCUUGAAUAUUUUCCAGUCCACUGAGUGAAAACAGUGCUGUAGGCUCUCCUCUGCCUCCCUUGACCAACCUUGGCCCUCAUCACUGGUGCCGUUGGUUUUCAGUCUCUGCCUAUACACUGGGAGUAGAGUAUAACCAGGUGAGUGGACUUUCCAAAGGGUGGCUGUGGGAUGGCACAGUAAACAUUCUUCAUUGCUGGACAACAGUCGUCAAGCGUGUUGGCUUUGGUUCCACAGAUGGGAUGUUGCUGGUCAUUGUUCAGAAACUUCUUCAAGAUGGCCCGGUUGAAAUCUCCUGCAAUGACAGGGAAAGGCAUCAGCGUGUGCAGUUCCGUGCUUGCAGAUUACGUUGCUCAGCACCUGCAGUGCCGGACUGAUCUUGGCCUGAGAUGAAAUGAACACCACUACCAGGAUGAUGGCAGAAAACUUCCUCAGCAGAUGAAGUGGAAAGCAUUUGACUGCUAGGUGGUUCAGGUCGGAUAAGACAGAAUCAUGAUGAAUUAAUCGUAAAGCAUGCUCCACCUCCUCUGUGUUUAAAAGAUUGAGCAGUCCUGUCUUUGCAGAGAAUGCUGUAGCCGUUGGGCUGCAUUGUUGCACCCAAAAUUACUGCUGUGAGCUAUGUCCCUGAUGUCCGUCUUGUACAACUCUGAGGUCUUCAAUUUUAUUUGCCAGCCAGACAGUCAGGAGUGGAAAUCUAAAGCUUCUUUGUUUCAAUUGUACUUGUAGAUUGGAGUGGCAGCUCUGCUUUCGUUUUCUUAAAGGGGAACUGCAAUCGCCUCUCAAGUCUACAGUCCAAGGUUCAUCGAUUUUGACCAUCAAUAGAGUUUUUAAACAUCUUAAAACAAUGCAGCUUACUGAAGUACUAAUGGCUGUGACUGGGAUUUCAGCUGUGGUAAUCUUAAACUGGAAUACUUGAUGAUGCCCAUCAGAGCUGCACACAGAGUUGCCACUUAGUGACAUCGUCGUAUUGAGAGGCUUCUUCCCCCAGCCUGGCCCCUCCCUCUCCAGUUGUUCAAAAGUUCAAAGUACAUUUUAUUAUCAAAGUACAUAAAUUACACCAUAUACAACUCAGAGAUUCAUUUUUCCCUGUGUGCAUACUCAGCAAAUCUAUAGAAUAGUAACUCUAACAAGAUCAAUGAAAGAUCAACUAAAGUGUAGAAGACAACAAACUGUGCAAAUGCAGAUAUAGAUAAAUAGCAAGAAUGUGAGAUAAGAAGAUAAAGAGUCCUUAAAGUGAGAUCAUUGGUUGUGGGGACAUCUCAAUGGAUGGGCAAGUGAGUGUAGUUAUUCCCUUUGUUCAAGAGCUUGAUGGUUGCGGGAUAGUAACUGUCUUGAACCUGGUGGUGUGAGCCCUGAGGCCCUUGUACCAAGAAAAGAGCAUGGCCUGGGUGGUGAGCAUCUCUGGUGAUGGAUGUCUCUUUCCUAUGACAGCUCAAUGCUUGGAAGGGCUUUACCUGUGGUCAGUAGUUGGAAGGGCUUUACCCAUGAUGUAGUGGGCCAAAUCAACUACCUUUUGUUGGAUUUUCCAUUCAAAGGCAUUGGUGUUUCCAUACAAGGCCGCGAUGCAAUCAGUCAAUACUGUCUCCACGGCACUUCUAUAGAGGUUUCAGAUAUCAUGCCAAAUCUCCGCAGACUCCCAAGGCAGUAGAGAUAUGCUUUCAUCACAAUUGUACUUAGGUGCUGGGUCCAGAGCAGAUCCUCUUAAAUAGAAUAACCCAGAAAUUUGAAGUUGCUAACCGCUCUCCUGGGCUCAAUGGCAUUCAACAACAGCAACAAUCCCCUCUGCAUCUCUGAUCGUCUAAUGAGAACUGGCUCAUGAACCUCUUGUUCCUUCUCUUGACUCUGCAAUCAAUUCCUUAGUCUUGCUGCCAUUGUGUGAGUUUGUUGUUAUGACACCACUCAGCCAAAUUUUCAAUCUUCCUCAUGUAUGCUGUUUCAUCACCACCUUUGAUUCAGCCCAAAGCAGUGAUGUCAUCUGCAAAUUUGAAUAUGGCAUUGGAUCUGUGCUAAGCCACACAGUCAUAGGUGUAAAGCAAGUAGAGCAGGAGGCUAGGCACACAUUCCUGUGAUGCACCUGUGCUGAUGGAAAUCGUAGAGGAGAUGUUGUUGCCAAUCCAAACUGCCUGGGGUCUACAAGUGAGGAAAUCCAGGAUCCAAUCGCACAAGGAGCUAUUGAGGCCAAGGUGUUGGAGUUUAUUGAUUAGUUUUGAGGGGAUAAUGAUAUUAAAUACUGAGCUGAUGUCAAUAAAGAGCACACUUCAGGGCCAGAAAAACCCUAAAUUAAAAAACCCUAAACCCUUUCUUCCCACUUUUGUGUUGGAAUGUGAUGGUCAUGAAAUCUUGGCCAACAUUUCAAUGGAAUACUGCAGAAGUGCUGCACCGUCAGACCUACACCUGUUGGAUGAAAUGUGAAAUCUGCGCAUUUGGAAGGAGAAGUGUAAAGAAAAGAUGAGUUUUUUUGUGUGUGCUUGUGAGCUUUCAAUCAACAGUAUCAAAAGCAGAGUGUUUGUACAUUCAGAGCGUUACUGUUUGUGAGAGCUUGGGAUGCAUAUAUUAGACACCCAUCUGUCUGCAAAACAGUUGUUCUACUUCAAAAGAUAAUUCAAUGUCUCUGAAGUACUUUAAGGAUAUCUAGGAAGCUGAGAGGCUGCAUAUAAGUGUAGGUAGUGCUUCUUGACUCAGAUUUCUUUAAAUAAAUGCAUAGUUAUGUGGAGCACAUAAUUUAGUAAUUUUGAGCUUAUGUUGUUUAUUUCCUUUGCAGUGCUCUGUUGAGGAGAAUAUGAUUUUGAUUUUUAGCUGAUAUUGCAAGGUCAUAUGUUUAGUAUAUAAAACAUUAAAUAAGUAAAAGGAAUUAGGGAGACGUAGAAGUGACGGAAACAUUUGUGAUUAUUGACUUCCUCCUUUAUAAUCCUCUGGAGUUCUAGAUUGGCAAUGAAAAAUGCACCUAAAUUAGGCAAUUAAUAUUAAUUUGUCAACUGAAGGUAUUACUUGGCACUGUGGAUGAGACUAAAGCAAAAUGCUGAAUACAGGCUUCAGUACCUAUUAUUCCUACUCUGGAUAAAUGAGCUUCUUAUAUUCAAAUAAUUCAUAUUCAGCACAUUUCACUAUUUUUACUUAUCUUCCAUAGGCUUGGGAUAAUUACCUGCUGUAACAGGAUGCAUUUUAAAGACUAAAAAUCACUUAUCAAAUCUAUCAAUAAAAUUAACAAACAUGUCAUUUUUGGGAAAGCAGAGAGGAGUGGAUGAAAUCUGAAGAGUACACUCAAUUUUCUGCCGAUCUGACAGCUCAAAAAUGAUAUUGAUUAUACCUUGCAAAGAUUUCUGUUGCAUAAAUACAUGCUGUGU